rnacentral:lncRNA from 1 species
AGAGAGUAGACGUAUAUCCAUGGCCACAAGUCACACUGAAGUGUUGAAAAGACUCACGCAAGCUAAGGAUGAAUACACACAAUUUAAAAGAGGUUUAAACAGUCCAUUUAUUUAAGGAGAGAAUGUGUAUGGAGCAUCCACCAGGACUCAGGCGCUGCAGAGGCGGAGAUCGGUGGCACGUGUGCCACCAUACAGGAGCAACCAAUUACUACUGGGGAUAACAGAAGGUGCCCAGAAGAAGAAAUGCAUGGAGUACCAAGGAUCACGUCUUGUAAUUCCUCCAUCUCCCCACAUGGAAUCACAGGUUUGGCAAUUUAUCUCUUCACAUACAUGAAACUUCAAACCAUAAAAUUAUAAGACAGUUCUCAUUUAUUGUUUCCAGCUGUAGUUACCUUACAGAUAAAGAGUUUACUCUCUGAUUUUGUUUGUGCUACUGCCCG